rnacentral:sRNA from 1 species
CAGAAGAUCAAGAGCUGCAGCAUAGAUCAACAAGUUGUAAUUAAUGAUCAUACAAGCAGGAAAAAUUGCUGAUCCCCUAAAAAUAAAAGAAAGAAAUUCCUGGGUUAGAGUGGCAAUGCAUUAUUGCAUUUCAGAUGUUCUUGAGCCAUUGAGUGUUGCAUGCACAAAAAUAUUUAAGGCAGCUGGAAGAUUGUGAUGGGCUGGUUGUCGUGAAGGAAAGAUUGGCCUAGAAAUUUUAUUUUAGUGAUCUUGAGAUAAAUACAGGUCGUGAAGUUCUCUGGGAUCACUACAUUAGUAUUACGGUUCUCGAUCAGAUCAAGGACUGCAGAAUUGCAUACUCAUUUUAACUUUGGUCAAAUAUCGUAUGGAGAAAUCUGAAAUACUUGGCAUCAAAUCUUUGGUCCAGGAACAUGACAAUCUUCUCCCUCAAGGAAAAGGUAACAUAACAGCUACAGAUUCAGGGCUGACAAAAGCAUCACAUAUCUUGCACAUGUUGCCAAACUAUAUCACCUAAUACCUGUAAUGAACAAGAGCAAUUUACUCAUGACAGAAGCCCAAAACUCAUGGGCUUGAGAUGCAGUUUAGACAUAAUCACUCAUGGAAACCCAAAUUAUUUUGCUGACCAAGGAAUUCAUGUGCUCUUUGUCUAGUGAAAUUUUGGGUGGCCGUAAAGUUAAUUGACGUCAAGAGGAGCAGGAUAGUUCCAUGCUGAAUGCAUGGCUUCAGCUUUGGGAAUAAGAAGUCCUGUAGACUGAUCCCCAACCAGUGUGAAAUUUGUCUGUUGUUGGUGCAAAGAAAAAAUCAGAAGCAAACAGUGUUUGUGUGUGCCGCGUAGAAAUCAUCCAGCGCCAUCAAAAUACUGGUCCGUGCUAUUUUCCCCACCAUUGUUUGAAGGUCAAGGAUCACUCCAACUGGGAACCCAUCUACUACCCCAGUUUUGUUAGCAUUUUGGGCUACAGUGAAAUGGACAAGGAGUAACAGGAACAGUAUGGUUUGAGGUGCUCUCUCCAUUACCAGUGCUGUGGCUGUGGAAUGUUUGUGAAAGACUUUGCCUCCCAAGGCCUUACACUCUUAUAAGGCUAGGGGCUUGAGGAAUUCAAACAGUAAGGCUAGCUUAAUUUAAACUUUACGCGUGAAAUAAUGUAGUGCCAUAGGUGUUAUUUUACUCUAUUUCAGUUGUAUUUUUGGAACCCUUGAAGGUCAAAUGAUGUGUCCAUAGCCAUGCAGUGCACCAUUAUGCAGCUCUGCAUUUCUGCAAGCUACUGACAGUACUACAGCACUAAGCAAUAGGCAAUAGUUACUUGCACAGAUGCAAGCAAUCUUUCGUUAGAUCAAUUGAGACUUUGAGAGAGUAGCAGUUGUUUAUGUAAGUUUCAAAGCAGUUGCCUUCUUUCCUGAAGAAACUGAUUUGUGCAGGAGGUUUCUGUAGCUUAUUUAAAAGCCAAUUGAUGGGAUCCUUCCGGAACUGCUUUCAGUUCAU